UACGGAGGGUGCAAGCGUUUAAUCGGAAUUACUGGGCGUAAAGCGCACGUAGGUGGUUUGCUAAGUCAGCUGUGAAAUCCCCGGGCUCAACCUGGGCACUGCAGUUGAAACUGGCAAGCUAGAGUAGGGUAGAGGGGUGUGGAAUUCCAGGUGUAGCGGUGAAAUUCGUAGAUAUUCGGAAGAACACCAGUGCGAAGGCGACUCACUGGACAUGUAUUGACGCUGAGGUGCGAAACGUGGGGAGCAAACAGGG
rnacentral:rRNA from 1 species